CUUUAUUUAAGGAGCCAAGCUGCACAACUCCCUGUGGAACAACAGCAGCAACAACAAUGGUCUACAAGGAAAAAUGACAAAUAUUUCUAUUAAUAGCUUAACCAUAUAGGGAAGGAAAAUAAACUUUAGGCAAAAGACUAUUGGAAUAAAAUGCAUUCACUCUCCACCAAAAAGAUUUGGACCUUUGACCUAGAAACAUGAUCAGUUAUUGACUUCCAUGUGUUGAACCAUGGAAAUCAUCAC